UUUUAACACGAAGUGAGUGGCGAACGGGUGAGUAACACGUGGGUAACCUGCCCAGAAGUAGGGGAUAACACCUGGAAACAGAUGCUAAUACCGUAUAACAGAGAAAACCGCAUGGUUUUCUUUUAAAAGAUGGCUCUGCUAUCACUUCUGGAUGGACCCGCGGCGUAUUAGCUAGUUGGUGAGGA
rnacentral:rRNA from 1 species